rnacentral:rRNA from 1 species
UACGGAGGGGGCUAGCGUUGUUCGGAAUGACUGGGCGUAAAGCGCGCGUAGGCGGAUCAUCAAGUCGGGGGUGAAAUCCCGGGGCUCAACCCCGGCACGGCCUUCGAGACUGGUGGUCUUGAGUUCGAGAGAGGUGAGUGGAAUUCCGAGUGUAGAGGUGAAAUUCGUAGAUAUUCGGAGGAACACCAGUGGCGAAGGCGGCUCACUGGCUCGACACUGACGCUGAGGUGCGAAAGCGUGGGGAGCAAACAGG